CUACGGGGGGCAGCAGUAGGGAAUAUUGGUCAAUGGACGAAAGUCUGAACCAGCCAUGCCGCGUGAAGGAUUGACGGUUCUAUGAAUUGUAAACUUCUUUUAUUCGGGAAGAAAAAGGAUUUUUCUAAAUCCCUUGACGGUACCGUAUGAAUAAGCACCGGCUAACUCCGUGCCAGCAGCCGCGGUAAUACGGAGGGUGCAAGCGUUAUCCGGAUUUACUGGGUUUAAAGGAUGCGUAGGUGGCUUGAUAAGUUAGUGGUGAAAUCCUACAGCUUAACUGUAGAACUGCCAUUAAAACUGUCAGGCUUGAGUGUAGUUGAGGCGGGUGGAAUGUAACAUGUAGCGGUGAAAUGCUUAGAUAUGUUACAGAACACCGAUUGUGAAGGCAGCUCGCUAGACUACUACUGACGCUGAGGCAUGAAAGCGUGGGGAGCGAACAGGAUUAGAUACCCUGGUAGUC
rnacentral:rRNA from 1 species